AUGACUACAACAAGAUCUCCUUCAAGGAGCAGGUGCCCGUGCCCUUGGAGGAGGUGCUGCUGGAUGCCUCUCCCCAGGCUUUGGUCUUUCUGGGGAGGUUCCUCCUCUACCCUCCACUCCAGCGCAUUGCAGCCUCCCAGGUCCAUCCAAGGAGGCAGUGAGUGCUGCUGCUGUGUCUGCCACCGUGCUGCUUCUCUAGCUGCCACCUUCUUGGUCAGGGACGGCCUCGGUAGAGCCAUCUGUGGGAGCACUGAGUGUGAGAUGUCAGAAACCCAAGUGGGAAGGGAAGUGUGGUUUGAUUUUGUUCUCAGAGACAUUAAGCACUAGUUCAAUUCUGAGAUUUAGGAUAAAACCCAAAUAGUCCUACCUGAUGUGUACCCUCUUCUGCUCCUGUUGAGGGACAUGCCUGAGGUAGCAUGGUCUCCUGCCCUUGCUUGUCUCUGGUCACUUGGAAAGUAGCCCCAUUCAUGGCCACCUUAGUCUUGGGGACUUUCUAGGUGCUUCAUGUUUUGAAGCUCCCACUUGAAGGUGAGAUGACAGAAGUCAAGGCCAGGGAUGGCUCAAGUUGGGGACCCAAUAAGUGAACCUCCACAUCUUUUCUUUUUUUUCUUUUUUAGGGCUGAACCUGUGGCAUAUGGAAAUUCCCAGGUGAGGGGUCAAAUCACAGCUACUGCUGCCAGCCUACACCACAGCCACAGCAACACCAGAUCCAAGCCUCAUCUGCAACCUAUACCACAGCUCAUGGCAAGACCGAAUCCCCAACCCUCCAAGCAAGCUCAGGGGUUGAACCUGCAUCCUGAUGGAUCCUAGUCAGGUUAAUAACCCUGAGCCAUAAAGUGAACUCUGUGACCCUCCACAUCUUAAUCUGGUUACAUCACCCUCAGGAUAAGCAUGAACCAGGACCACACGGGCACCUCCUUAAUCAGAGACACCAGGCAAAUAGGACAGAUCUUCCUGAAACUCAUUUGUUAACUCAGUAAAUCUCAAUACAGUCUGAACUGGCUCUUGUUUUCUGUCUUUUGUCUUUUUGUUGUUUUGUUGUUGUUGUUGCUAUUUCUUGGGCCGCUCCCGCGGCAUAUGAG
rnacentral:lncRNA from 1 species